AGUUCAGUCGGUUAGAAUACCGGCCUGUCACGCCGGGGGUCGCAGGACACCGCCCUUUCACGGCGGUAACAGGGGUUCGAGUCCCCUAGGGGACGCCA
rnacentral:tRNA from 1 species